rnacentral:rRNA from 1 species
UACCGCGGUUACACGGGCAGCUCAAGUUGACGGAUAGCGGCGUAAAGGGUGGUUAGGGAAAUAUAAAAACUAAAGACGAAAGACUCCAAGGCCGUCGCACGCUGACUCGGAGCCCUGAAAAUCACCUACGAAAGUGACUUUACGAUACCCGACCCCACGAAAGCUGAGGUA